AGUCGAGCGGUAACAGGGGAAGCUUGCUUCUCGCUGACGAGCGGCGGACGGGUGAGUAAUGUAUGGGGAUCUGCCCGAUAGAGGGGGAUAACUACUGGAAACGGUGGCUAAUACCGCAUAAUCUCUUAGGAGCAAAGCAGGGGACCUUCGGGCCUUGCGCUGUCGGAUGAACCCAUAUGGGAUUAGCUAGUAGGUAAGGUAAUGGCUUACCUAGGCGACGAUCCCUAGCUGGUCUGAGAGGAUGAUCAGCCACACUGGGACUGAGACACGGCCCAGACUCCUACGGGAGGCAGCAGUGGGGAAUAUUGCACAAUGGGCGCAAGCCUGAUGCAGCCAUGCCGCGUGUAUGAAGAAGGCCCUAGGGUUGUAAAGUACUUUCAGUCGGGAGGAAGGCGUUGAUGUUAAUACCAUCAACGAGGACGUACCGACAGAAGAAGC
rnacentral:rRNA from 1 species